UUGGACCUGAUAUCAGGCAAGAUUACCCGCUGAACUUAAG
rnacentral:rRNA from 3 species